AUUGAACGCUGGCGGCAGGCCUAACACAUGCAAGUCGAGCGGAUGAAGGGAGCUUGCUCCUGGAUUCAGCGGCGGACGGGUGAGUAAGGCCUAGGAAUCUGCCUGGUAGUGGGGGAUAACGUCCGGAAACGGGCGCUAAUACCGCAUACGUCCUGAGGGAGAAAGUGGGGGAUCUUCGGACCUCUCGCUAUCAGAUGAGCCUAGGUCGGAUUAGCUAGUUGGUGGGGUAAAGGCCUACCAAGGCGACGAUCCGUAACUGGUCUGCGAGGAUGAUCAGUCACACUGGAACUGAGACACGGUCCAGACUCCUACGGGAGGCAGCAGUGGGGAAUAUUGGACAAUGGGCGAAAGCCUGAUCCAGCCAAGCCGCGUGUGUGAAGAAGGUCUUCGGAUUGUAAAGCACUUUAAGUUGGGAGGAAGGUCAGUAAGUUAAUACCUUGCUGUUUUGACGUUACCAACAGAAUAAGCACCGGCUAACUUCGUG
rnacentral:rRNA from 1 species